GACGAACGCUGGCGGCGUGCCUAAUACAUGCAAGUCGAACGCAGUGGCGAACGGGUGAGUAAAGCGUAGGUAAAUGCCUCAUAGCGGGGGAUAACUAUUGGAAACGAUAGCUAAUACCGCAUACUGUGAGCUGGACCUGCGUUGUAUUAGCUAGUUGGAGGGGUAAAGGCUCACCAAGGCGACGAUACAUAGCCGACCUGAGAGGGUGAUCGGCCAAACUGGGAAUGGGGAAAGGGCCAGACUCCUACGGGAGGGAGCAGGAGGGGAUCAUCGGCAAUGGACGGAAGUCUGACCGAGCAACGGCGCGGGAUUGGAGAAGGGUUUCGGAGCGGAAAGCUCCGUUGUUAGAGGAGCGGUAACUAACCAGAAAGGGACGGCUAACUACGUGCCAGCCGCCGCGGUAAUAC
rnacentral:rRNA from 1 species